rnacentral:misc_RNA from 1 species
GAUGAAGAACGUAGCGAAAUGCGAAAAGUAAUGUGAAUUGCAGAAUUCAGUGAACCAUCGAAUCUUUGAACGCACAUUGCGCCCGCUGGAACUCCGGCGGGCACGCCUGUCCGAGCGUCAUUUCAACCCUCAGGCCCCCCUUCGCGGGCGGGCCUGGUGUUGGGGCCCGGCCGCUACCCUGCGGCCGUCCCCUAAAUUCAGUGGCGGCCUCGCCGUGAUCCCUUGCGUAGUAAUGCACCUCGCACCGGAGAGCGCCGUGGCCACGCCGUAAAACCCCCAAUAUUCAAUGGUUGACCUCGGAUCAGGUGGGAAUACCCGCUGAACUUAAGCAUAUCAAUAAGCGGAGGA